rnacentral:rRNA from 1 species
UGGCUCAGAACGAACGCUGGCGGCAUGCCUUACACAUGCAAGUCGAACGGCAGCAUGGAGGAGCUUGCUCCUCUGAUGGCGAGUGGCGAACGGGUGAGUAAAGCAUCGGAACGUGCCGUGUAGUGGGGGAUAACGUAGCGAAAGUUACGCUAAUACCGCAUACGCACCGAGGUGGAAAGCAGGGGAUCGCAAGACCUUGCGCUAUACGAGCGGCCGAUGUCAGAUUAGCUAGUUGGUAGGGUAAAGGCCUACCAGGGAGACGAUCUGUAGCGGGUCUGAGAGGAUGAUCCGCCACACUUUAUCUGAGACACGGGGAAGACUCCUACGGGAGUCCUCAGUGGGGA